rnacentral:rRNA from 1 species
GGCACGUGAAACCUUGUCUGAAUAUGGGGGGACCAUCCUCCAAGGCUAAAUACUCCUGACUGACCGAUAGUGAACCAGUACCGUGAGGGAAAGGCGAAAAGAACCCCUGUGAGGGGAGUGAAAUAGAUCCUGAAACCGCAUGCAUACAAGCAGUGGGAGCCGACAUGUUCGGUGACUGCGUACCUUUUGUAUAAUGGGUCAGCGACUUACAUUCAGUAGCAAGGUUAACCGCAUAGGGGAGCCGUAGAGAAAUCGAGUCUUAAUAGGGCGUUUAGUUGCUGGGUGUAGACCCGAAACCGGGUGAUCUAUCCAUGAGCAGGUUGAAGGUUGGGUAACACUAACUGGAGGACCGAACCCACUGUCGUUGAAAAGCCAGGGGAUGACUUGUGGAUAGGGGUGAAAGGCUAAUCAAACUCGGUGAUAGCUGGUUCUCCCCGAAAGCUAUUUAGGUAGCGCCUCGGACGAAUACCAUUGGGGGUAGAGCACUGUUUCGGCUAGGGGGUCAUCCCGACUUACCAAACCGAUGCAAACUCCGAAUACCAAUGAGUACUAUCCGGGAGACAGACUGCGGGUGCUAACGUCCGUAGUCAAGAGGAAAACAAUCCAGACCGCCAGCUAAGGCCCCAAAAUUAUAGUUAAGUGGGAAACGAUGUGGGAAGGCAUAGACAGCUAGGAGGUUGGCUUAGAAGCAGCCACCCUUUAAAGAAAGCGUAAUAGCUCACUAGUCGAGUCGGCCUGCGCGGAAGAUGUAACGGGGCUAAAACUAUAUGCCGAAGCUGCGGAUUUGCAAUUUAUUGCAAGUGGUAGGGGAGCGUUCUGUAAGCCGAUGAAGGUGUAUUGAGAAGUAUGCUGGAGGUAUCAGAAGUGCGAAUGCUGACGUGAGUAACGACAAUGCGAGUGAAAAACUCGCACGCUGAAAGACCAAGGGUUCCAGUCCAACGUUAAUCGGGGCUGGGUGAGUCGACCCCUAAGGCGAGGCCGAGAGGCGUAGUCGAUGGGAAAUUGGUUAAUAUUCCAAUACUUCUAUGUAAUGCGAUGAGAGGACGGAGAAGGUUAAGUCAGCCUGGCGUUGGUUGUCCAGGUGGAAGGUUGUAGGCAUGUAUCUUAGGCAAAUCCGGGGUACUCUAUGCUGAGAACUGAUAGCAAGCUGUACUUGUACAGUGAAGUGGCUGAUACCAUGCUUCCAGGAAAAGUCUCUAAGCUUCAGUUACAUAGGAAUCGUACCCGAAACCGACACAGGUGGUCAGGUCGAGUAGACCAAAGCGCUUGAGAGAACUCUGCUGAAGGAACUAGGCAAAAUGGUACCGUAACUUCGGGAGAAGGUACGCUGCCGACGGUGAUAGGAUUUACUCCUUGAGCUAUUGGCAGCCACAGAAACCAGGCCCCUGCAACUGUUUAUUAAAAACAUAGCACUCUGCAAACACGAAAGUGGACGUAUAGGGUGUGAUGCCUGCCCGGUGCUGGAAGGUUAAUUGAUGGGGUUAGCGUAAGCGAAGCUCUUGAUCGAAGCCCCAGUAAACGGCGGCCGUAACUAUAACGGUCCUAAGGUAGCGAAAUUCCUUGUCGGGUAAGUUCCGACCUGCACGAAUGGCAUAAUGAUGGGGGCGCUGUCUCCAGCAGAGACUCAGUGAAAUCGAAUUCGCCGUGAAGAUGCGGUGUACCCGCGGCUAGACGGAAAGACCCCGUGAACCUUUACUGCAGCUUGACAUUGAACUUUGAUCUUACUUGUGUAGGAUAGGUGGGAGGCUUUGAAACCGAGACGCUAGUUUCGGUGGAGCCAAUCUUGAAAUACCACCCUGGUAAUAUUGAGGUUCUAACUCUGUCCCGUUAUCCGGGACGAGGACCAUGUCUGGUGGGUAGUUUGACUGGGGCGGUCUCCUCCUAAAGAGUAACGGAGGAGUACGAAGGUGCGCUCAGCGUGGUCGGAAAUCACGCGUAGAGUAUAAAGGCAAAAGCGCGCUUAACUGCGAGACCCACAAGUCGAGCAGGUACGAAAGUAGGUCUUAGUGAUCCGGUGGUUCUGUAUGGAAGGGCCAUCGCUCAACGGAUAAAAGGUACUCUGGGGAUAACAGGCUGAUACCGCCCAAGAGUUCAUAUCGACGGCGGUGUUUGGCACCUCGAUGUCGGCUCAUCUCAUCCUGGGGCUGAAGCAGGUCCCAAGGGUAUGGCUGUUCGCCAUUUAAAGAGGUACGCGAGCUGGGUUUAGAACGUCGUGAGACAGUUCGGUCCCUAUCUACCGUGGGCGUUGGAAAUUUGAGAGGAUCUGCUCCUAGUACGAGAGGACCAGAGUGGACGAACCUCUGGUGUACCGGUUGU